rnacentral:lncRNA from 1 species
AGCCCAUCCGCAGGGAGCUGACUCCGGGCUGCAUGUCAGCUCCUUGCCAGUAGGCUGGCGCUUCGAGGCCAUUCUGGAGGCCAGUCGCUUACUGAAAAGGCAAAACUGACUUUAAGGUAAUGGGAAACCCAGGAACUUUCAAAAGAGGCCUUUUACUCUCAGCUUUGUCGUAUUUGGGUUUUGAAACUUACCAGGUUAUCUCUCAGGCUGCUGUGGUUCAUGCCACAGCCAAAGAGUCUCGCUGUGUCACUGAGGGUAGAGUGUGGAGGUGCGAUCUCAGCUCACUGCAACCACUGCCUCCUGGGUUCAAGUGAUCCUCCCACCUCAGCCUCCCAAGUAGCUGGGAUUACAGGCAUGUGCCAUGAUGCCCAGUUGAAGAAAUACUUGAACAAGCAGACUACCUGUAUGAAAGCGGAGAAACAGAAAAACUUUAUCAGUUGCUAACCCAAUACAAGGAAAGUGAAGAUGCAGAGUUACUGUGGCGUUUGGCACGGGCAUCACGUGAUGUAGCUCAGCUUAGCAGAACCUCAGAAGAGGAGAAAAAGCUAUUGGUGUAUGAAGCCCUAGAGUAUGCAAAAAGAGCACUAGAAAAAAAUGAAUCAAGUUUUGCAUCUCAUAAGAAAGCAAUUGAACUGAACCCUAAAGAUGCUACUUCAAUUCACCUUAUGGGUAUUUGGUGCUAUACAUUUGCCGAAAUGCCUUGGUAUCAAAGAAGAAUUGCUAAAAUGCUGUUUGCAACUCCUCCUAGUUCCACCUAUGAGAAGGCCUUAGGCUACUUUCACAGGGCAGAACAAGUGGAUCCAAACUUCUACAGCAAAAACUUACUUCUUUUAGGAAAGACAUACUUGAAACUACACAACAAAAAGCUUGCUGCUUUCUGGCUAAUGAAAGCCAAGGACUAUCCAGCACACACAGAGGAGGAUAAACAGAUACAGACAGAAGCUGCUCAGUUGCUUACAAGUUUCAGUGAGAAGAAUUGAGAACUUUUCAGAGAAGAUUUAUGAAAUAGCUAAUAAACAUUGCCUUUUCUUUUAAUUCU